UUUGACCUUCCAUUCCUAACUCCUGCAAUUUUAUGUUUUAUUUACAACUAAAAAGGCGCCUUUAUUUUUUAUACAUUUUACGUCGGAUAUUAUCCCUGGUUGUUGAAGAAAACCGAGAUAAAAAUUCUAAAAACAAUUUUUAUUCCUUCACAAUUAUUAGGUUUUAUCUCAUUCACUUUUUGCGCCAUAGCAAACGAAAGGAAUUUGUUCUUCUCCAGCGAACGAAUGAGUUUCCCAAUACUGAGAACCACCACCCUUCUUCUUCGAGGAGGAAGUAAGCUCAAACUUUCUUUGUUGAGUCUCUCAUCACAUUUCCGAUAUGUACAAAUUCUCCAUUACUGUUGUUGUUAUUUCCGUCAUUGAUGUUGUCG
rnacentral:lncRNA from 1 species